UUCGUAGGCGGUUUGUCGCGUCGUCUGUGAAAACCCACCGCUCAACGGUGGGCCUGCAGGCGAUACGGGCAGACUUGAGUACUGCAGGGGAGACUGGAAUUCCUGGUGUAGCGGUGAAAUGCGCAGAUAUCAGGAGGAACACCGGUGGCGAAGGCGGGUCUCUGGGCAGUAACUGACGCUGAGGAACGAAAGCGUGGGUAGCAAACA
rnacentral:rRNA from 1 species